UACGUAGGGGGCGAGCGUUGUCCGGAUUUAUUGGGCGUAAAGGGUGCGUAGGUGGGUAGGAAAGUCAGUGGUGAAAUCUUCGGGCUUAACCCGGAAACUGCCAUUGAUACUAUUUAUCUUGAAUACUUUGGAGGUAAGCGGAAUAUGUCAUGUAGCGGUGAAAUGCUUAGAUAUGACAUAGAACACCAAUUGCGAAGGCAGCUCACUACGCGAAUAUUGACACUGAGGCACGAAAGCGUGGGGAUCAAACAGG
rnacentral:rRNA from 1 species